rnacentral:rRNA from 1 species
AAUAGCCGCAGUAUUUUGACUGUGCUAAGGUAGCAUAAUCAUUAGUCUUUUAAUUGAAGGCUGGUAUGAAUGGCAAGACGAGAAAGAAGCUGUCUCUUUUAAAAAAAUUGAAUUUCAUUUUUAAGUGAAAAAGCUUAAAUGUAUUUAAGGGACGAUCAGACCCUAUGGAGCUUUAUUUCGUUGAUUAGUUAAAUUUAUAUUUUAAAGUUAAUUAUUUGACGAAAUUUUGUUGGGGCGACAAAGAGAUAAAAAUAACACUCUUUUUAUUAAACAUAAAUAAAUGAAUAAUUGAUCCCUAAAGAAGGAUUAAAAGACUAAGUUACCCUAGGGAUAACAGCGUAAUUUUUUUGGAGAGUUCAAAUCGAUAAAAAAGUUUGCGACCUCGAUGUUGGAUUAGGAAUUUAACUAGGUGCAGAAGUUUAGUUGUAGAGUCUGUUCGACUUUUAAAAUCCUACAUGAUCU